UACGUAGGUGGCAAGCGUUGUCCGGAUUUAUUGGGUUUAAAGGGUGCGUAGGCGGUCUAUUAAGUCAGUUGUGAAAUACGGCAGCUCAACUAUCGAGGUGCAAUUGAUACUGAUGGACUUGAGUACUGAUGAGGUAAGCGGAAUGGACGGUGUAGCGGUGAAAUGCUUAGAUAUCGUCCAGAACACCGAUAGCGAAGGCAGCUUACUAAGGAGUAACUGACGCUGAGGCACGAAAGUGUGGGGAUCAAACAGG
rnacentral:rRNA from 1 species